rnacentral:lncRNA from 1 species
CUUCGCGUUGUGUUUUCAUGUAGUAAAAUUGCACCAAAAAAGGGUGACUAACUCUGGCGAACUGCACCGAAGUGGUGGCUAUCUCUGAACUCGGGUGAGCUGAUGAGUCCGGCGAGUAUUUUGAGGCCUGUGCAAGGCCGACUCAGACAGAAUAUCAAAUGAUAUCCUAAACUUGUCAUUAAUCAGGAGAACUUUAACAUAAAAGGUACUGAAGAAAAGUAAAAUAAAUGAAUAUUCUUAAAACAU